UAAAAAUGAUGAAAAUAAUCAGUUCUGCUUCUGAACUAAUGAUUGAUGACAACUUUUUAAACUGAUUU